rnacentral:rRNA from 1 species
CAGGAUGAACGCUAGCUACAGGCUUAACACAUGCAAGUCGAGGGGCAUCAUGAUCUGUGCUUGCACAGAUGAUGGCGACCGGCGCACGGGUGAGUAACGCGUAUCCAACCUUCCCCCCAGUAGGGCAUAGCCCGGCGAAAGUCGGAUUAAUACCCUAUGUUUUCCAAUGAGGACAUCUGAGCUGGAACAAAGAUUCAUCGCUGGGGGAUGGGGAUGCGUCCGAUUAGCUUGCCGGCGGGGUAACGGCCCACCGGGGCAACGAUCGGUAGGGGUUCUGAGAGGAAGGUCCCCCACACUGGUACUGAGACACGGACCAGACUCCUACGGGAGGCAGCAGUGAGGAAUAUUGGUCAAUGGGCGUAAGCCUGAACCAGCCAAGUAGCGUGCAGGAUGACGGCCCUAUGGGUUGUAAACUGCUUUUAUGCGGGGAUAAAGUGCGUCACGUGUGGCGUUUUGUAGGUACCGCAUGAAUAAGGACCGGCUAAUUCCGUGCCAGCAGCGGC